rnacentral:lncRNA from 1 species
GAUAGUAGUAUCUAACCAUUGAUUUAUUAUUAGUUUUUCCAAGAAAAAGAUUGAAUUAUUUGUCUGUUUAAAAAAAAUCUUAGUUAUUUAACAUUAUACACCUUCUUGCACUUUCCUCUAUAAAGAAAAUUAUUCCAUUUAUUGGCUCACUUUUGAAGUUAAAAAAAUAGUUUCUUAAAAUAAUAAUUCUAAAGGAGUUAAAAAAGAUGUAUUCUUAACUAUUUUUCUUUUCUUUUUUUUUUAAUUUCUUACUCUCUUGUUAAUUGUCAAUAUUCAAGAUAUAGUUAAGAAAUUGAUUGAAUUUUAAGUCCUUUUAUAUUUCCUUGAGUAGUGAAACUACUGAAUGUAAGGACGCCUUAUAAAAAAAAAUUGUUUAAGGCCCUCAAUACUUUAGAGUCAGCCUUAUUUACUAUUAUGAGUAAUGAUAAAGCCACAAAACUGUCAAAUACUAAAAAAAAAUUUACUUUUCAACUAAUCUCUUCAUGUCACGUUAAUUUGUAUGGACUAAUUUAUACAAAUCUGUUUGCGACUCUAUUACUAUUGUUGCUGCUAUAGGCGUGGAAUCUAUGAUUUCUAGAAUUUCAUUUAUUCACAGCCAACGCAUGGAGUUUAAUAACAGCCAUAGAAAUAACUUCCAAUAUUCACAAUUCUUUAUGUGUUGUUCAUGAUAACAUAUUAAUUCCAAAAGAAUCAAUUAGAACCACAUAUUACAAACCCAAAAGCCAAAAUUGAUUUUAAUUAAUCUGGUCAAGUCUCAAUUUAACUAAUUACUUUAGAAGUCUGUCCGUGAUAUACGUACAUACAUACACUAAAUUCAGAUUCAAAAAGUAUAUGUAUAUAUACUUUAUAUAUAUUCAAAAGUAUGUUUACAUGAAUUUUAUAUGUGCGUGUAUACACAUAUACAUGUACAUAUAUAUAAAUAUACAUACAUACAUACAUACAUUCAUACAUACAUAUAUAUAUAUAUAUAUAUAUAUAUAUGUAUGUAUGAAUGUAUGUAUGUGUAUAUGUAUAUAUGUGUGUGUAUCGAAUUAAAAUACAUUUACUUAACAUAUCCAUGGAAAUUAAUUUCUUCAGGAAUAACCUCUACCAUGAUAACAUAUGAUGUAACAUAGUGAACAAUUCCAUACAUUUUUAAUAUAAUAUAUGCAUAAAAAAUAUAUUGCCUUCAAGAAUUAGAUGAACGCUUAAGACUUUAUGAAUGCCAUCAAUAUUGAUUUUUAAAGCAUAAUAUACUUGUGAUUUUCAAUUAUUACAAAAUCUUGACUCAUGAUUAUUAACUUAGCAAUAUCAUUCAAUUAAAAAUCAAACUGUAUAGGUUCAUGAGAAAUCACAUAAAAAUAUUUCAUUAACAGAUAUGAAAUUUGAUUCAAUAUUGAUAUAUACCAUGAACAUGCCAUACAAAAUCAUAUAUUUGAACAUGAUAUGAAGAUGGUUUUGAUACCACAUGAAAAAUUAAAUAAUGAAUAGGAUCAUACUUCUAAUCAUAGUUACUCAAACUUCAAGUGUUCUCUAUAUAAUCAAAUUGACAUAAGGUCUCUUCUUGACUAUUUUACUUAAUAGCCUUUCUUUUGUGAUGGAAAAUAAGUUAUUAGCAAUUAUAGGUUUACUUACGCUAGGGUCCUUUUGCAUAAGAGCAAUGUUAGGUAUCUCAAUAUGUAAGUCUUAAUUUUAGUCUCAACUGAUGUGACAUUUAUUCAUUGGAUGGUAGUUAAGUAAUUUACUAGUUAUCAAAUCCACUAUCCACUAAAUGAGUGACAUAUAGCAUUGAGACUCAAGUUGGCACUCACAUGUUGGGAUUUCAAACAUUAUUGUUUUAUUAUUGUAUAAUAGUAUUUUAUAAGUUAAACGACUUUACGCUUCAUUCCAUAAAAAAAGUAAUAUUAAAGUUUCAAAAUAUAACAUAAAAAAAAAACUCAUUUGUUUAGAUCAGUACAUGAAAAUUAAUUAGUUAGAAAGUUAUUUUUUUAUUUAAUUCUUUUUAUUUUAUAUUAUUAUCGGAUAAGAUAUAAUAGGGUGUUAAUAUAACUAUAUUUUAAUUUAUUUACUUAUUAGUAAGCAUAAUGGCAUAUUUACGAGUUUAAUUUUUUUACUAAAUAAUUUUUUUUUUUGCGGAUUUUUGUGGAUUUACAUAAGUAAAUCCGUAUCCAAUCCACCGACUGUAGAUUUUUAAAAUUUCAAUGUAAUCUAAUCCACCAAUCCACGAAUCAGAUUUUUAUAGAUCGAAUUUUUACAGAUCAAAUGAAUUGAGCGGAUCAUAUUAGAUUCUGAACACCCCUAGAUAAUGAGCAGAGCCAAGUCAUACAUAGGCAACAAAGUAACCAUUAAAUGAAGUAACAAAAGACCACAAAUCUUUCAUCAUGACUAUCAUGCUUCUCUCAAUAACUGAUGAUUGUAGCAAAAUGAAAGGAUUCACGCACAGAUCGGCAACAAUGACACUUCUCUAUCAGGCCUACAUAAAUUUUAAUUUCAUAAGACAAAAAAAUAGGAAUUCCAUUAAAAGUAAUAAUUGGAGGCUUAUGAAAUAAAUUGAGAAAGUCAAAUAUUAUUAUCAUAGAUAAUAUUGCAUUGAAUGUGCAAGCCUCUAUGAUUGAUGUGCCUUUGAUCUCAAUUAAUUAAAAAAAAAAAUAUGUGAACCGUAGAUAUUUAUUUAGAUUCUUUUUUUUUUAAUUCCUAAACUUAAUUCCUUUUGAUUUUUGAACGGCUGGCAUAGCCACAAGAUACAGGAAAAGAUUUACAAAGUUUUAUUUUUAAAAACUUGUUUGUCAUAAUUACCAUAAUUUUUGGGAGAGAAUAUUACAGAGUAAUUCUUAUCCUGAGGUAUAUUUUUUUUUCACAUGUUAUUAGCUUUUAUUGUGAGGUAUAUUUUUAUUUGACAUGUUAGCCCAACUUAGAUUCAUAUGAUAACGUAGUAAAUGGAAUAUUUUAUCCGAUUUUAUCUAGUAAAUUAGUAAUAUAUAGAUUGUUAAUAAACUUAUCUUGAUAAAAAAAAUUCUUUAUCGAAUGCCGCUAGUAUCUGGUAGAAGAAUUUCUAUUUCCUUGUUAGGAAAAACAAAAAAGAAAUAUGACAAUUGUUUUUAAAUCUUACUUAUUUUUUAGACUAAAAAUCUUACGAUCAAUGCAAUGAAUGUGGUGUUUUAUUUAUAUUUAUUAUAGAUUAAAUAAAUCACAUGAAUGGGAAUUAAAAUAAAAAAUAUGAUAAAAUUAAUGAUAAAA